rnacentral:tRNA from 1 species
UGCAAGUUAGUGUAAAGGUUAACAUGACUGGCUCAUGAUCAGUUGUACUAGGUUCAAAUCCUGGGCUUGCUCUAU